rnacentral:lncRNA from 1 species
AUUUUUCACUCCCAAUAUUGUUCAGCGCAAAAACAUAUCCCCUUUCUCUCUUCUUCCUUUCACGCCAAACACUAGCACCACCACCAUAGUCAAAUUGCAAAUCUUCCUUGAAACUCCAUUGUUAGUUGCAUGCAUAAGUUCUAUUCAAUCCAUAACCAUUUAAGCACUUAGUUAGCAAACUCCAACUUCAAUUCUUUCUUCUCCCCUCUAUUUUAAAUGAACAGCUCUUGAACCCUUCAAACCCAAAUACUUCAAAAUUCAGAUCUUGCAUGUCAUUCUCUUCAUUCAAAAUCAGUUGUUGGAUUACAAGGAAUUAAGGUAAGGACAAUACUCACAAUUUCUCUUUCCUUCAUCAAUCAAAUUGAAGUCUUAUCCUCUAAAUCCUUAUCCCUUCAUUUAUGUGUAAUACAUGUGAACAAUACAAACUUAUGGGUGUUGGAGAAAUUAAGUUAAGCUAGAGAAUCAAGAAGAUGGGAAGAAUGAUGUGUAAUUCGUAUUCGGGUAUAGGCCUUCAUUCAAAAGGUAAUAGUUAUCUCCCUGUAACUCCGAAUUGAGUGAUUCUUGUUUCUAUGGAAAGCUGACGAAAUUCCCUUCGAUUGAGUACCGAAUUUGUAAUUUUCAGAUCAAUAUUGAAGUCUCAGAAUGCUCCUGAAGUUGAGGGUCUGAUAUAGAUUUUAUGCAGAAAAUUCUCUAUACGGAUUUGGAGUAUCUUAUAUGCAAAUUCUGCAUUUUGGCGAGCUCUGGAGAUAUCGUUAGUGCGGUUCAACUUCAAUUUCAGGUGGGUUUGUUUAAGUAGAGACAUGGCAACCAUAAGACCAAAGCAUAGGAUUUUGUUUUAUUAAUUUUUGGUUAUGAAUUUAUGAGAAUAUUAGAGUAUGUGUGAGUUAAAUCCCCAAUUCACACUUAUAAUUAAUACAUGUUAAGAUUAUGAAUUUCUCAGUAUAAAUGGAAUAAUGUUGUAGGUGGACAAGAACUGGAUUUUCUGAUUAUGCAGGAAAGAUUAUGCUUUCUGCUACUCUUGCUUAGCGAGCGCAGGGCGUGACUAAGCGAGCCUUGUUGACAAGAAUUCUGGAUUUUCUCGCUAAACGAGCUUCUUCUCGCCUAGCGAGCGAAUCUGGGCAGAGGGUCAGCAAUCCUCGCCUAGCGAGCUCGAGUCCUCGCUUAGUGAGCAUGUUAGAAAACAGAACCUGCACUUCUUUUCAAAACUGAUGCAGCAGGGAUUAAUUGAUUGUUAAACAAUGAAUUGAUGCCACUGUCUAUUUUAUAUCAAUAGUCCACUCGUUUUAAACACCGUUCGAUUUAUUAAAAUAUUUAUCAAUUGAUAUCAUAAUCUUAUGAUGAGAUUAAUGAGUUAAAUACACUAAUGGUAGAGAACGUAGAAAUCUAUAAAUGGAUAUACUUAAUAAGUCAGGACUUCCCCAGGACUGGUUGGUAAGUAAGAUUGUUAGAACUAGCAUAGUCGAUCAUAAUUGUGGUUAAUCCCAAACCAUAAUUUAGCAUAGCUUUAUGUUAUGAGAGGGUUUCCGUAUUUUAGUAGAAAUCCGUUAAGUUAAUUAAUUAAUGUGAGUAAGACCAACGUGGCAUAGCUAUGUCACAACGGGUAGUGGAGAACAUCCUAAGUGGAGAACAUCCUCAGUGGAGUACUUCCUCAGUGGAUCUUUCGAGAUAUACUCACCUCGGAAGCUUCCUGUAAAAUGAAUAAGAUUGAUAUUGUGUGAUACACCUUUAUUUAUAUUAUGUCGUUCUUUAAUGAAUAUAAGUUUAUCAGUGAUCAACUAUUUUUAGAGCACGGUGUUAGUACACCAAGUAGUGGGUAGUAAGAAAUCCACUGAGGCUUAGUAGUCUCACCCCACAAUUAUUGAUUUUAGGUAACAGGUUGCUCGUUCAAGAAGCCGAGGAUUGGACGGGUUAGUGAGAUUAUGGAAGACUGUUCGAUGAUUACCUGUUUGAAGCUUAAUAAACACUUGUAUAGGAUUAUGCUACAUGUACAUGUAUUUAGCAGUUACCAUGGCUCUGAUGUAAAGAUGUUAACAGUUACAUUAUGACAGUUAUUCAGUUUAAAUAAAUCAUGUAUAUUUGGUAUUUCCUUCAGACUACUUGUGUAAAAGAUAAGCUUUAAUUCUGCAAUUUUAAUGUAUUCCGAUCCGGUUAGACAUGCACCUAUUGAUAUUCUAGAUAAAUCAAUAUGGGGUGUUAUAAUUGGUAUCAGAGCAGGUCGAUCUAGUAUCGGACCUUGCCGCGGAUCAUUAGUAUUCAAAGUUAAGUAGUACGGNNN